CACAUCCUGGGGCUGUAGUCGGUCCCAAGGGUAUGGCUGUUCGCCAUUUAAAGUGGUACGCGAGCUGGGUUCAGAACGUCGUGAGACAGUUCGGUCCCUAUCUGUCGUGGGCGUUGGAGAUUUGAGAGGGGCUGCUCCUAGUACGAGAGGACCGGAGUGGACGAACCUCUGGUGUUCCGGUUGUCACGCCAGUGGCACUGCCGGGUAGCUAUGUUCGGAAGCGAUAACCGCUGAAAGCAUCUAAGCGGGAAGCGCGCCUCAAGAUGAGAUCUCCCGGGACACAAGUCCCCUAAAGGAACCAUCAAGACUAGGUGGUUGAUAGGCAGGGUGUGUAAGUGGAGCAAUCCAUUGAGCUAACCUGUACUAAUGAUCCGUGUGGCUUGACCAUAUAACCUCA
rnacentral:rRNA from 1 species